AUAUUAAUUCUUAUGCUUCUUUAUAUUAGGAACAAAUAGACUAAGCAAUUCUACUUCAUAUUUUCUGUUUAGUUGAAUCUGCAAUUUUAUUUGACACAUUUAGUACCUGUUUGGUAGAUGCAAAAAUGUGUUCAUCUCAUUUUAGUUAACAAUAAUUAUGUAUUAGAGAUUGUUAUCUGUAUUACAUAAUCACUUUUAACAUGAACUCAUCAUCUAUUAGAGAUCAAGAUUAAUGCAUAGUUUCUGUUAACCAAAAUGAGAUCAACUCAUUUUUCAGGUAUCUACCAAACAGGGCCUUAGGUGAGUUGAUAUUGUUUGUUUGGAGUAGUAGACAGUAUGCAAACAGUAUGCUUAUAUUUGGACAACACAUAGUUUUGUUGUUCUCUUAUAGGUGGUUUCUUGUAGGUGCUUUUUCUUAGUUUCGUAUUGUUUUGCUGGUGGUUGCUUGCUAACUUUUAGGACUUGAUCAGGUUGGUUAAUGGUGCUACUUCUUUAUUUAGUUAACUUUAGUAGGAAACUAUGCUUAUCAUGAUAUUUCUGUUAGGUUGAUACUCAUUUUUAGGAUUUGUAUUAUGCUCAUGAGUUUCUUCUCUUUUGAGUCGUCUAUUGAGAAUUCAUGUUCAAAAUACACCUUGGUAGUGUCCAAGCAUUUAUUUGUGUGUUUAAUGUUUAAAUUGAUAAAAAGAAGGAAAUCAUGAUUAAGUCUUAUUUUUGCUUUUUUAAGUUAAUGGGUCUUAGUCCAACCUUGAAACAGGUUUGACUAUAUUGAACGAGAUUGCCGAGCUUAUGGCCUUGGUUGCAAUUUUGAAUUUCAGAGGUUAAUGGAAUGCAUUUUUGGAUUGUGUAUUUUGUAUAUUUUUUCUUGUUUUUUAUUCUUUUCCUUUGUAUAUGUUUGGAUUCUAGAAACUAAGUUUGAAAAUCUUGGAUGGUUUUGAAUCAUAUAUAUAGCAGCAUGACCUAUGUUGCCUCGAAAGGAAUUUCGAUAAAAGAUGGGAUAUGCAGUCUUCAGAAGAAGGUAUUUGAUGUCCUCUGCCGGAUAGCAGACAUCCCUUCUUGGAAGCUUACAAGAUCAAGAUAAUUCUUGAAGAGAUGGAUUUCCUUAGUGUUCUUCAAAUGAUUCCUUCAUGUUUUCAACUAGCAAUGACAUGUAGGUAUUAGCUUGAGGAAAAGCAAUUUUAAAUUAUGCUCUUCUAUUAACAAUGUGAUCAUUUAAUUACUUGUGCAAUUCAUUACUCAUCCAUUGCUCUAACAAUAUCUUGUUCAGUCAUUAAGCUAUAGCUGCAUUCUCCUAUGUGUUUGAGAGUGUGGAUGUGUCUCUCUUUUUAGUUUAGGAAUUCAAUCUGCCUAGAGGAUCAUGUUGAUAGUUCUUUUAUCCAGAACAUUGGUCUGUUGGGCUCCACUGUGGAUGGACCAUUUCAUAAUAUCUCCCAAGGUUAGAGAUCCUAGCAUU